AUCCAGAUGACGAGUUCCAAAUAGGACGAAAUGCACAUUUAAGUGGAU
rnacentral:hammerhead_ribozyme from 1 species